rnacentral:rRNA from 1 species
AGGACGAACGCUGGCGGCGUGCUUAACACAUGCAAGUCACGGGGGCUCGCAAGAGCAACCGGCGAACGGGUGCGUAACACGUGAGCAACCUACCGAUUUCUGGGGGAUAGCCGGCCCAACGGCCGGGUAAUACCGCAUACGUUCUUGGGGGACAUCCUCUGAAGAAGAAACCUCCGGGGGAGAUCGAGGGGCUCGCGGCCUAUCAGCUAGUUGGCGAGGUAACGGCUCACCAAGGCAACGACGGGUAGCUGGU